UACAGAGGGGGCAAGCGUUAUUCGGAAUUACUGGGCGUAAAGCGUGCGCAGGCGGUUAUGUAAGACAGGUGUGAAAUCCCCGGGCUUAACCUGGGAACUGCAUUUGUGACUGCAUAGCUAGAGUACGGUAGAGGGGGAUGGAAUUCCGCGUGUAGCAGUGAAAUGCGUAGAUAUGCGGAGGAACACCGAUGGCGAAGGCAAUCCCCUGGACCUGUACUGACGCUCAUGCACGAAAGCGUGGGGAGCAAACAGG
rnacentral:rRNA from 1 species